UAUUAGGUAAUGAUGAGAGUUAGUAAAUAUAUGGAGUCAUUUAGAGAGGAAGUGGGUGGUGAAAACUUCUUGACAGGUAUAUUGAAGCUAUCUUUGAACCUGUUUUUAUUGAGAGAUAUCGCUAUAUAGUUAAUUUUAUUAAUUAUACAGCGAUAUAAUUAGGGUGGUAACGCGGAAAACUUUCGUCCCUUGU
rnacentral:ncRNA from 1 species